GCCUCUGUAGCUCAGUUGGUUAGAGCGCUGCACCCGAAUCGCAGGGCCGUAGGUUCAAUUCCUACCAGAGGAC
rnacentral:tRNA from 1 species